CUACGCAUCACCCGAGAGAGACCACGGUUCCGGACCUUCCGGUGACGUGGAGGCGGAGGCAGUACCCGCAUUGCCGGCGGGGCCAGAAUACUCCGGCUUUGCCACCGUCGAUUACUUCCGGCCGCUGGACGCCAGCGACACCUCACGGCUGACCUCUCUAGAUCCGGCCGCGGCCGGACGCCGGCCCGUACCCGUACCGUACAUCGACGUCAACUCCUUUCUCCACCCCGAGCGGCCAGCGACGAAGACGACUAGCACUCUACGAGGUCAUCGUCCGCACGCCAGACCCUCCAGAUCCGGCCGCCGGACCCCAGCCCGGAACUCCUUCCCUCUGGCGUAUCUUCUCUUACUCGACAGAUGUUCCUUUACUGCUAUAUAUGGAUGAAUUUUUCUCAAUUAACACGCAAAAUAUCAUAAAAAUAUUCCUUCAGGCUUAGUUAAUAGAGUUACGUAUCUUUGCGAUGAUGAAACAUCGCCUUCUGUGGCGUCACUUUGUCCCCAAGAGAAGGCGGAUGUUGCCUGCAAAUGAGCCGGGCGUUCAUGCUGGUCCUAUAGGUCCCAUUUAUCAGCUCUCGUAGUUCCUAAUCAAAAUCUUCGAGAUCAAAUCAGUAGAUCGGUGGUUGAGCUCACUGUUCUUGAUCCUGAUAGUGAUUUUCCUGUACUUAUUCCGGCAUUAUUAUCAUGUUAGAACCAAACAUGUGUGUCAUGUUGUUUGGAGGGGAUCUCAUCCGAGAUAACUAUUCCUUUCGACUUCGUUUUCUUAAUACUGCUAGAACAAAAGAUGUUUGUUUUGAGGACUUCACACUAAUUACCAGUGCCUCUAAAGCACCAUUGUUGGCUUUGCUUCCUUGUAAAACAGAAGUGCAGUCAUGUAUUGAAAUUCCGCUUGGUUCAAAUGUUUCUAGAAAUGAAAGAGUCUUCCUUUAUGUCAUCAGAUGUAUCGAUGACAAAAACUAUGUGCAUUCAAUAACAGAAGGCUCUGUAAAUUUUCCAGAUCCGAGAGAAUUUAUUUGUGAUUGUUCUCCAACGUUCUACUCUUGUUAUGGAGGUCUUGUUUUUGAUAGCUUGGGGAAACUAGUUGGCAUCGGUUUUCAACAUUUUGGCCCAGUUACUUGUUUCCAAGUUGAUCAUAUUCAGGAACUACUUCAACGACUCUCUCCAGGAGAAAGCAUCAGUGACAUUUUAAAAAAUCUGACAAACCUGAAGUUAAAGAGCUCAUAACAGCUCUGAUUUGACCAAGCUACUCUUUUACUUCCUUUGACCAUCCUGAUUAUUGGCGACAUUUGUAAAAAUCUGAGAAAUUCGAAGCUACUGUUGACAAGCUACUCUUUCUUCGUUGCUCCAUCCUGGCUUUGGAGGAGAUGAGCAAUAUCAGCGACUCCACCUUGGGAAAGAUGAGAUAGUGAAGAUGGGGAACGAGUGUGCAAGAUUCUCUAAUAGAACUAUCUUACGAUGUUGUACCUACUAAGUAAGUUGGGUCUUAUCGUGUAUGCCUGCCGAAUCAUGAGCUGCAUAAUGGCAGUGCCGUUUUUUGUGUCAAAAUGGAAGUUAUGGUAAUCAGGCCGAAUAUGUGAACAAAACGUCGCACUCGUAUUUGCCUAGCCAUGAUUGAACAGCCUACCGGUUAUGCUGUCUGUUUUAUUUGUAUUGUACUAGUUAUUAGAUAUAUACUAUAAUAGAGAAAUCUUGAUUUGUCCAGUCA